AAACCAUGAUGAGGGCAAUCUCUCUGAUACUCUUUGAAUCGUUCCCAGGCUUCAUAGAAGGUUUCUAUUGGGCCUUGUUGGAAACUUUGUAUCUUGUAUCUCAGCU
rnacentral:snoRNA from 1 species